GACGAACGCUGGCGGCGUGCUUAACACAUGCAAGUCGAACGGAAAGGCCCUGCUUUUGUGGGGUGCUCGAGUGGCGAACGGGUGAGUAACACGUGAGUAACCUGCCCUUGACUUUGGGAUAACUUCAGGAAACUGGGGCUAAUACCGGAUAGGAGCUCCUGCUGCAUGGUGGGGGUUGGAAAGUUUCGGCGGUUGGGGAUGGACUCGCGGCUUAUCAGCUUGUUGGUGGGGUAGUGGCUUACCAAGGCUUUGACGGGUAGCCGGCCUGAGAGGGUGACCGGCCACAUGGGGGAUGGAAUACGGCCGAGACUCCUGGGGGAGGCAGCAGUGGGGAAUAUUGCAGAAGGGGCGGAAGCGUGAUGCAGCAGCGCCGCGUGCGGGAUGACGGCCUUCGGGUUGUAAACCGCUUUCGCCUGGGACGAAGGGUGGGUGGCGGGAAGGGGUAAAGAAGCACCGGCUAACCACG
rnacentral:rRNA from 1 species